AGCGACUAAAAAACGGCAGGCGCCAUAAGCGCUUGAUUGGGAAUCCCGUGCAAAUCGGGAGCGGGCCCGCCGCUGUGACCGGGGACGAAAGCCGUUAGCAAACCACUGGCCCCUGGGGCUGGGAAGGAACGGCCGGUAGGGAGAGCCGGAAGCCAGAAGACCAACCUGCCAAAAAUUCGCUGG
rnacentral:ncRNA from 1 species